CUGGAAGGGCCGAGAGGCCCAGCCCAGAAACCCUUUGUGAACAUACCCAUCGUCGUUGCCUCGGCGGGCCGUGGUUCGCGGUCGCGAGCCCGGCCACCCGCGGGAGAUCCCCGCGGAGCAGCCCGCCGGCGGCCCACCAAAACUCUUGUUUUUAGCGUGUCUCCCUCUGAGUCUAACUAAAAAAUAAAGUAA
rnacentral:misc_RNA from 1 species